AUUGAACGCUGGCGGCAUGCCUUACACAUGCAAGUCGAACGGCAGCGGGGGAGAAGCUUGCUUUUCCUGCCGGCGAGUGGCGAACGGGUGAGUCAUACAUCGGAACGUGCCCUGUAGUGGGGAAUAACUAGUCGAAAGAUUAGCUAAUACCGCAUACGACCUGAGGGUGAAAGUGGGGGACCGCAAGGCCUCAUGCUAUAGGAGCGGCCGAUGUCUGAUUAGCUAGCUGGUGGGGUAAAGGCCUACCAAGGCGACGAUCAGUAGCUGGUCUGAGAGGACGAUCAGCCGCACUGGGAGUGUGACUCGGCCCAGACUCCUACGGGAGGCAGCAAUUGGGAAUUUUGGACAAUGGGCGAAAGCCUGAUCCAGCAAUGCCGCGUGUGUGAAGCAGGCCUUCGGGUUGUAAAGCCCUUUUGUCCGGAAAGAAAUGGCUCUGGUUAAUACCUGGGGUCGAUGACGGUACCGGAAGAAUAAGGACCGGCUAACUACGUGCCAGCCGCCGCGGUAA
rnacentral:rRNA from 1 species